AGAGAAUCCUAGUACAAGAAAGCCAUUAGUUGUCAGAGUUAUCAGCUUCAUUAGCUAGCUGCUGAUCAGCUGGAGGAUGCAAGCCAUAACCAGAUUAAUGGGCUUCAUUUCUUUUGGAAGGUCUCAACGUAGUACGUGCAUGCAUCAUGCAUGCUGUCGUUCAUUUUAAUUUUUUUUUUCUUUAAAGUAUUUUACAUUAAUUGCUAUUUCUUUUCUUAUGCAUUGGGUCUGAUUUCAAACCAGGGCUCCAAAGAUUCUCCGCAUCUUGAGUUUGUCAUCUUCGUCGAUUGUUCAAUGUUGUGGCUCAUAAAUUGACCAAGUUGGUUUUAUUUUUUAAUUUCUUUUAUAGUUGAUUUGAGGAGCUUUUAGAUAUAAUCUAGAGAGCUCUCCCUAUAAAUUGUAUUUAUUUGAAUAAAAU
rnacentral:lncRNA from 1 species